UUAAGUUCAGCGGGUAUCCCUACCUGAUCCGAGGUCAAGUCAAAGAAGGGGCUUCUGGAGGACCAGUAUACCAAGACGCCAGACGCGUUGUACUGCGCUGUAGCCAAUAUACCGGCCGCCAAUGCAUUUGGGGUGAGUCCGCCGCGGGGCGGGGACAAGCACCCAACACCAAGCUGAGCUUGAAGUUUCUAAUGACGCUC
rnacentral:misc_RNA from 1 species